rnacentral:misc_RNA from 1 species
GAUGAAGAACGUAGCGAAAUGCGAUAAGUAAUGUGAAUUGCAGAAUUCAGUGAAUCAUCGAAUCUUUGAACGCACAUUGCGCCCGCUAGUAUUCUGGCGGGCAUGCCUGUCCGAGCGUCAUUUCAACCCUCAAGUCCCCGGGCUUGGUGUUGGGGAUCGGCGAGCCUCCGCGCCCGCCGUCCCCUAAAUCUAGUGGCGGUCUCGCUGUAGCUUCCUCUGCGUAGUAGCACACCUCGCACUGGGAAACAGCGCGGCCACGCCGUUAAACCCCCAACUUCUGAACGUUUGACCUCGGAUCAGGUAGGAAUACCCGCUGAACUUAAGCAUAUCAAUAAGCGGAGGA